UCGAACGCGGGGCUUCGGCCCCGAGUGGCGCACGGGUGAGUAGCGCGUGGGAACCUGCCCUGGAGUGGGGGAUAACCGAGGGAAACUUCGGCUAAUACCGCAUGCGCCCGGAGCAAUCCGGGGAAAGAUUUAUCGCUCUAGGAGGGGCCCGCGUCGGAUUAGCUAGUUGGUGGGGUAACGGCCUACCAAGGCGAUGAUCCGUAGCUGGUCUGAGAGGAUGAUCAGCCACACUGGGACUGAGACACGGCCCAGACUCCUACGGGAGGCAGCAGUGGGGAAUAUUGGACAAUGGGCGAAAGCCUGAUCCAGCAAUGCCGCGUGAGUGAGGAAGGCCUUAGGGUUGUAAAGCUCUUUCGGCGGGGACGAUGAUGACGGUACCCGCAGAAGAAGCCCCGGCUAACUUCGUGCCAGCAGCCGCGGUAAUACGAAGGGGGCGAGCGUUGUUCGGAUUUACUGGGCGUAAAGGGCGCGCAGGCGGUCCUGUUUGUCGAGUGUGAAAGCCCCGGGCUCAACCUGGGAACUGCGCUCGAAACGGCGGGACUAGAGUUCGGGAGAGGAGAGUGGAAUUCCCAGUGUAGAGGUGAAAUUCGUAGAUAUUGGGAAGAACACCGGUGGCGAAGGCGGCUCUCUGGACCGAUACUGACGCUGAGGCGCGAAAGCGUGGGGAGCAAACAGGAUUAGAUACCCUGGUAGUCCACGCUGUAAACGAUGUGUGCUAGACGUUGGGGAGCCUAGCUCUUCGGUGUCGCAGCUAACGCGGUAAGCACACCGCCUGGGGAGUACGGC
rnacentral:rRNA from 1 species